GGACCCGCACAAGUAGUGGAGCAUGUGGUUUAAUUCGAAGAUACGCGCAGAACCUUACCAACACUUGACAUGUUCGUCGCGACUCUAAGAGAUUAGAGUUUUCGGUUCGGCCGGACGAAACACAGGUGCUGCAUGGCUGUCGUCAGCUCGUGUCGUGAGAUGUUGGGUUAAGUCCCGCAACGAGCGCAACCCUCACUUUUAGUUGCCAUCAUUAAGUUGGGCACUCUGAAAGAACUACCAGUGAUAAGCUGGAGGAAGGUGGGGAUGACGUCAAGUCCUCAUGGCCCUUACGUGUUGGGCUACACACGUGCUACAAUGGUAUCUACAACAGGAAGCAAAACGGCGACGUUAAGCAAAUCCUCAAAAGAUACCUCAGUUCGGAUUGCACUCUGCAACUCGAGUGCAUGAAGCUGGAAUU
rnacentral:rRNA from 1 species